rnacentral:rRNA from 1 species
UGGGGAAUCUUGCACAAUGGUGGCAACCCUGAUGCAGCGACGCCGCGUGAGCGAUGAAGCCCUUCGGGGCGUAAAGCCCUUUCGACCGGAACGAUAAUGACGGUACCGGGAGAAGAAGCUGCGGCUAACUACGUGCCAGCAGCCGCGGUAAUACGUAGGCAGCAAGCGUUGUUCGGAGUUACUGGGCGUAAAGAGUGCGUAGGCGGUUUUCUAAGUUCGGUGUGAAAUCUCCCGGCUUAACUGGGAGGGUGCGCCGAAGACUGGGAAGCUGGAGUGUGGGAAAGGCAGGCGGAAUUCCUGGUGUAGCGGUGAAAUGCGUAGAUAUCAGGAGGAACACCCGCGGUGUAGACGGCUUGCUAGACCAUAACUGACGCUGAGGCACGAAAGCGUGGGUAGCAAACA